CAAUAAGAUCAAUCUAAGAUGGCGACUGUGGAAUUGGAAACCACCCCUACUCCUAAUUCCCCUGCCUACAGCAGAGGAGAAAACAGGACCUAAUCGGGAGAUUGCUAACCCAGAACACUGUAUUAAACAUCCUCUACAGAAGAGAUGGGCCCUCUGGUUUUUAAAAAAUGAUAAAAGCAAAACUUGGCAAUCAAACCUGCUGAUUUCUAAGUUUGAUACUGUUUUAAGACUUUUGGGCUCUGUACAACCAUAUCCGGUUGUGCAGUAACUUAAUGCCUGGCUGUGAUGACUCUCUUUUAAAGAUGGUAUUGAGCCUAUGUGGGAAGACGAGAAAAACAAAUGGGGAGGACUAUGGCUAAUUACACUGAACAAACAGCAGAGAAGUGGCCUCCAUCACUUUUGGCUAGAGACCCUUCUGUGCCUUAUUGGAGAAUCUUGUGAUGACUACAGUGAUGAUGUAUGUGGAGCUAUUGUUAAUCUUAAAGCUAAAGGUGAUAAAAUAGCAACAUGGACUACUGAGUGUGAAAACAGAGAAGCUGUUACACAUAUAGGGAGGGUAUACAAGGAGAGGUUAGGACUUCCUCCAAAGAUAGUGAUUGGUUAUCAGUUCCAUGCCCACACAGCUACUAAGAGAGGCAGUUCCACCACUAAAAAUAGGGUUUGUUGUUUAAGAAGACACCUUCUGAGUAUUCUCACAGGAGACUGCAUCAAGCAAUUGAGAUUUGGAAGCUGAACCAAAGCCUCUUCAAAAGCAGAGUGUGGGCUGCAUUUAAAUUUGAUUUCCAUCUAAAUAUUGCUAAGAUACAAGAGAAGUCUCAUUUGCC